ensembl:lncRNA
UAGAGGAUCAUAUAGACACUCUUAACUUCAUCCACAGCUGUUAAAACUCCAGUCCAAUCUGUGCUUUCCCACUGCACGGCGAAGCUAGUCCAGCAACCACUCUGAAAACAGAUGCCAAAUCAUCUACAGUGUCAGACCCUGUUACCCAGAGUUUGACAACUCAGUCUACGUAUCCGGUAAGCACGUCCUCCUCCAUUUCUACUGACCAGAUGGCCACAUCAGGCUCUACAGUGACAGGAGCUUCAUCCACCUCAACACAGAACACUGCUUCUAACAGUGCUACUGUCGCCUCAGCUGGUAUUACUAGUAUGGAGACAGCAAACAUAUCUUCUUCAGAAAAUUACACGGCGCUAUCCUGUCCAGCAUUUGCUUGCACAAAAGAUUGUUAUGACCAGUUCAUGAAUAUGACGGCGAAGCCCUGCCAAUCCAGUGAAUACUUCUGUAAGAUAAUGAAAGGCGAUGCAGGUUACUCUGUCAGCUGCAGUGCCUCAUGUGGCGUGCCCUGUGAGAACGGGACUCUCAGUAAUUGCUCUGUCAACUGUUGCAACACAACUAACUGCCUCAACAACAGUCUGCUUGCCAUGUUCAAUUCACUCAAUACCACAGCUACAACAAAACCGACUACUACAACCACAACCAUAAAGACCACAGUUCCAACCACCCCAGCAAGCAAUGGCAAGAAGUGUCAUAAUUUCAAGUGUAAUGGAGCAG